AUUCGACAGCUGGCUGUCAGCCUUUGGUGCCAGUUGUUUGGAUGUGUCAUAAAACGGUGCCAAAUUUGCUGAAGUAUCUUGUGAUGCAGAUCUUCUCUAUCAUCGAUGUUAAUGUAAGUACAUCCUUGUGAAUUUUAAUACCUGUAAAACUGACUGUUGACUGCCUAAUUUCAGUCGGGGAUUAUUUUAGACACUGACUUCUCUAGACUUGGCUGUCAAAAUGGACACACCCUGAUCGCUUUAUUGGUCACGGAAGAAGCAAUAUAAUAUGUCGUGACAAAAAUAACUUGUUUUGAGAUUACUUUAAUUCCAGAUUCAUACAUAGUUUGGUAUAAACCUUGGGGGCUUAGUGGUUGAACCAUAUUGGCAGUAUGAA